rnacentral:rRNA from 1 species
GACGAACGCUGGCGGCGUGCUUAACACAUGCAAGUCGAACGGAAAGGCCCUGCUUUUGUGGGGUGCUCGAGUGGCGAACGGGUGAGUUACACGUGAGUAACCUGCCCUUGACUUUGGGAUAACUUCAGGAAACUGGGGCUAAUACCGGAUAGGAGCUCCUGCUGCAUGGUGGGGGUUGGAAAGUUUCGGCGGUUGGGGAUGGACUCGCGGCUUAUCAGCUUGUUGGUGGGGUAGUGGCUUACCAAGGCUUUGACGGGUAGCCGGCCUGAGGGUGACCGGCCACAUUGGGACUGAGAUACGGCCCAGACUCCUACGGGAGGCAGCAGUGGGGAAUAUUGCACAAUGGGCGGAAGCCUGAUGCAGCAACGCCGCGUGCGGGAUGACGGCCUUCGGGUUGUAAACCGCUUUCGCCUGUGACGAAGCGUGAGUGACGGUAAUGGGUAAAGAAGCACCGGCUAACUACGUG